AUUGAACGCUGGCGGCAGGCCUAACACAUGCAAGUCGAGCGGCAGCGGGAAAGUAGCUUGCUACUUUUGCCGGCGAGCGGCGGACGGGUGAGUAAUGCCUGGGAAAUUGCCCAGUCGAGGGGGAUAACAGUUGGAAACGACUGCUAAUACCGCAUACGCCCUACGGGGGAAAGCAGGGGACCUUCGGGCCUUGCGCGAUUGGAUAUGCCCAGGUGGGAUUAGCUAGUUGGUGAGGUAAUGGCUCACCAAGGCGACGGUCCCUAGCUGGUCUGAGAGGAGGAUCAGCCAGACUGGAACUGAGACACGGUCCAGACUCCUACGGGAGGCAGCAGUGGGGAAUAUUGCACAAUGGGGGAAACCCUGAUGCAGCCAUGCCGCGUGUGUGAAGAAGGCCUUCGGGUUGUAAAGCACUUUCAGCGAGGAGGAAAGGUUGGUAGCUAAUAACUGCCAGCUGUGACGUUACUCGCAGAAGAAGCACCGGCUAACUCCGUGCCAGCAGCCGCAGUAACAC
rnacentral:rRNA from 1 species